GAUGAACGCUAGCUACAGGCUUAACACAUGCAAGUCGCGGGGCAGCGUGAUCGAAGCCUUGCUUUCGCUAGGCGGACACGGGCGCGGGGGUGAGUAGCGCGUCCCGCCCGUCCUUCAUACCCGGGAAUAGCCUUGCGAAACGGAGUUAUACGGUCUGUGGUUUCUGAGUCCCACCUGAGGCUUUCAACAAGGUUGGCGCGGUAUGAGGGGGCGGUGCGUCCGAUUAGCUUGUUGGCGGGGACACGGCCCACCGAGGCAUCGAUGGGUAGGGGUUCUGAGAGGAAGGUCCCCCACACUGGAACUGAGACACGGUCCAAACUCCUACGGGAGGCAGCAGUGAGGAAUAUUGGUCAAUGGGCGGAAGCCUGAACCAGCCAAGUAGCGUGCAGGAAGACGGCCCUACGGGUUGUAAACUGCUUUUAGGUGGGGAUAAAGCGGGGCUCGUGUGCCUUCUUGCAGGUACCACAUGAAAAAGGACCGGCUAAUUCCGUG
rnacentral:rRNA from 1 species